rnacentral:rRNA from 1 species
AAUUUAAAAUUUUAUUAGUAAUUGAUUUUUAAAAGUAAUUAUUUGUUUGAGUAGUUUGUUGGAAAUAAUGUUUUAAUUUAUAGAUUAAUAGUACAGUGAUGGAUUAAUUAAAAAUUGUUGGAAGAAUAUUUAAUUUAUGGUACCUUUUGUAUCAGGGUUUAUUAAAAAGAGGUUUUAUUGUGAGUUUUCUCGAAUUUAUAAGAGCUAAGAAUAUAUAUAUAUUAAUGUAGAAUAAUUAUUUAUAAUAUAUUUUUUGCUAUUAGACGUUAGUCGAUUUUAAAUAUAUCUAGUUUUCUAAGAAAUUAAUUUAAUUAAGCUGGUUUAAUGAAUUGUUUUAAUGAAAAAUCAAUUUUUAGAUUAGGUAAUAUCUAAGGGGAUAAGCUUUUGGAUAAAUUUUUAUAAGAAUUUGUUUAUUGAAAGUUGAGUAGGAAUAGAAGUUUUCAUUUUUUGUAGUGUUUUAUAUCAAGACUUUUGAUUGAGUGAUUUGAUUGUUUUUAAAUUUUUUAUUAGAAUAUUAAGAGUAAUUGUGGGGUUUAAGGAAUAAUGAUGGAAUUAGUAUAAUUUAAUGUUUUAUGAAUUAGUAGGUGAAAGUUUUGAUUAAGUAAUUCGGCAAAUUUAUUUUCUGCCUGUUUAUUAAAAACAUGGCCUUUUGUGAAUAAUUUAAGGUCUGGCCUGCCCAAUGAUUUGGUUAAAUGGCCGCGGUACUCUGACCGUGCAAAGGUAGCAUAAUCAUUAGUUUUUUAAUUGAAAGCUGGUAUGAACGGUCGGACAAGAAAAUUACUGUCUCAGUUGAAUGGUUUUAGAAUUUUAUCUUUUAGUCAGAAGGCUAAAAUGAUUUUAAGGGACGAGAAGACCCUAUAGAAUUUUAUAAAUUUUAUUAGUUUGGAUUUUUGGGUAGGUUUUUUUGAUUUAAUAAUAUUUAUUUUGUUGGGGUGAUGGAAAAAUUUGAUAAACUUUUUUUAGUUGAAGUCAUUAAUUUAUGAUUGGAUGAUCCGUUUAUUACGAUUACAAGAUUAAAUUACCUUAGGGAUAACAGCGUUAUUAGUUUGGGGAGUUCUUAUCGAUAAACUAGUUUGCGACCUCGAUGUUGGAUUAAAAUAAACUUUUGGUGUAGGGGCUGGAAAGUUAAGUCUGUUCGACUUUUAAAAUUUUACAUGAUCUGAGUUUAAACCGGCGUGAGCCAGGUUGGUUUCUAUCUUUAGAAAAUUAUAAUAUUUUAGUACGAAAGGACCAAGUAUUAAUUUAAUAAGUUUAAUUUUGAAUAUUAUU